CAUUAUGAACAGUGGAAGAUAUUCAAUAGCUUGACUCAAAACACUCUUCUUCUCAAUAUACAAAUGUAUAACAAAGGCAUACAAUUACAUACAAGUGCCAAACAAACAUCCCUUCAGGGUAUAAUACUGUAGGGAUCUAUCAGGGUAGAACCCUCCUGUAACAUACCCUGAUAGACUCCUCCUGUAUUAUAUCAGGGUAUACUACAGGAGGGUUCUAUCAGGGUAUAAUCCAGGAGGGUUCUAUCAGGGUAUUCUACAGGAGGGUUCUAUCAGGGUAUAAUACAGGAGGGUUCUAUCAGGGUAUAAUCCAGGAGGGUUCUAUCAGGGUAUAAUCCAGGAGGGUUCUAUCAGGGUAUUCUACAGGAGGGUUCUAUCAGGGUAUAAUCCAGGAGGGUUCUAUCAAGGUAUACCACAGGAGGGUUCUAUCAGGGUAUAAUAGAGGAGGGUUCUAUCAGGGUAUAAUACAGGAGGGUUCUAUCAGGGUAUAAUCCAGGAGGGUUCUAUCAGGGUAUUCUACAGGAGGGUUCUAUCAGGGUAUAAUCCAGGAGGGUUCUAUCAAGGUAUACCACAGGAGGGUUCUAUCAGGGUAUAAUCCAGGAGGGUUCUAUCAAAUUAUACCACAGGAGGGUUCUAUCAGGGUAUAAUCCAGGAGGGUUCUAUCAGGGUAUAAUCCAGGAGGGUUCUAUCAAGGUAUACCACAGGAGGGUUCUAUCAGGGUAUAAUAGAGGAGGGUUCUAUCAGGGUAUAAUAGAGGAGGGUUCUAUCAGGGUACAAUACAGGAGGGUUCUAUCAGGGUAUAAUACCAUAGGGUCUAUCAGGGUAUAGUACAGGAGGGUUAUAUCAGGGUAUAAUACAGGAGGGACCUAUCAGGGUAUAGCACAGGAGGGUUCUAUCAGGGUAUAAUAGAGGAGGGUUCUAUCAGGGUAUAAUAGAGGAGGGUUCUAUCAGGGUAUAAUACAGGAGGGUUCUAUCAGGGUAUAUUACAGGAGGGUUCUAUCAGGGUAUAAUAGAGGAGGGUUCUAUCAGGGUAUAAUAGAGGAGGGUUCUAUCAGGGUAUAAUACAGGAGGGUUCUAUCAGGG